GCUGCGGGGCGAGCAGCAGGCACCCUCCGGCCCCGGCCAUGUGGCUGUGCGUUGGCGGCGGGCCUCGUGGCCGCACCGUUCAAGGUGCAACAAAGUCUGAGGUUUGAAGAUACGUGAAGGUCACCAAAAAUGUGUGAAGAAUGGCUAUGGAAAAACCACCAGGACUGCAGCUACUUGUGGAACCAAGAAUUACAUCCUUUAGGUGUAGCUGCCGAUGAAUGUUCACGUCCCUGACCCCCGUGGUCUUCUGCUUUGUGUCAAGUGUGGCGAAAUCAUUUUGGGAAGUAAAAUGAAAUGUCAUGAAGACAGCAGUUGAAGCAAGUGAAGAAAACUUUAUUUGACAUUGAUACUUCGUAGUCAUGAAGAAAACAUGUUUGGAUUACUAAUUUGAUGGAAAAUAAAGUUUGUUUUUUAAAAAUA